UACGAAGGGUGCAAGCGUUACUCGGAAUUACUGGGCGUAAAGCGUGCGUAGGCGGUUUGUAAGUCCGUUGUGAAGCCCUGGGCUCAACCUGGGAAUUGCAGUGGAUACUGGCGAGCUAGAGUGCGGUAGAGGAUGGUGGAAUUCCCGGUGUAGCGGUGAAAUGCGUAGAGAUCGGGAGGAACACCCGUGGCGAAGGCGGCCAUCUGGACCAGCACUGACGCUGAGGCACGAAAGCGUGGGGAGCAAACAGGG
rnacentral:rRNA from 1 species